rnacentral:tRNA from 1 species
GCGGGGAUUCGCCUAGACUGGUUAACGGCGCAGGGCUCAGGGCCCGGACGGAAGGGUUCAAAUCCCUCUCCCCGCA